rnacentral:rRNA from 1 species
GACGAACGCUGGCGGCGUGCUUAACACAUGCAAGUCGAACGAUGAAGCUGGAGCUUGCUCCGGUGGAUUAGUGGCAAACGGGUGAGUAACACGUGAGCAAUCUGCCCUUGACUCUGGAAUAACUGCGGGAAACUGUAGCUAAUACCGGAUAUGAGGCUCGAAGGCAUCUUCGGGUCUGGAAAGAAUUUCGGUCAAGGAUGAGCUCGCGGCCUAUCAGCUUGUUGGUGAGGUAAUGGCUCACCAAGGCGACGACGGGUAGCCGGCCUGAGAGGGUGACCGGCCACACGGGGACUGAGACACGGCCCAGACUCCUACGGGAGGCAGCAGUGGGGAAUAUUGCACAAUGGGCGGAAGCCUGAUGCAGCGACGCCGCGUGAGGGAUGAAGGCCUUCGGGUUGUAAACCUCUUUUAGCAGGGAAGAAGCGAAAGUGACGGUACCUGCAGAAAAAGCACCGGCUAACUACGUGCCAGCCGCCGCGGUAA